UGGCGACAGAACAGGUUGGAUUCUCUAACGCGUAUUCCAGAUAAUAUUGCGAUAUAUUUUUUUUUUUGCCAAAUGCGUCAGAUUUGUACGAGAGGGUUCUACAGAGAGGUCUCAACUAUUUCACGCACACGGAAUUAAGAUUUUGGACGGAGCCGGGACGCUGGCGACGCAAAACAAGUCCGACGCCGAACAAGCUUCGUAUUGAAAUCCAACAGGAUGAAAUUGUGGAAUCGUACUGCGCGUGUAAAGCAGGCAGGUAACAAAGUGAAAGUGCUUCUCCUCCACUGAUAAUAAUUCAAUGAAACUCAGAGAAGAUACUUCUCCCCCGCUUACCCUGGGACAUACAGCCUUGUGUUUGUUGACAUUGUCCACAUUUAGUUGUACGUGAGCUCUUCUGUGACCCUUAAUCCAUCGUCGACAUCAACCGUGUGAAAAUGAAUCAAGCGGGCGGACCCCUUGUAAGCUAGCCGGCUACCUUUCAUCAGAAUUGGACGUUCCCCAAGCGCAUGGGAGGACCAUUUUCUUCGCAACGUGAACUUUUCCAAGCGCACGCUACUGACAAGCAGCAUUGCUUGUGGGACAACAUGGCGGCAGGGGCGUGUCAAGACAACGCGGCUAUCUGAUUCGAAUCGACUGGUGAAGCCGACGUUUCUAAAUCGAGUGACGGAUAUUAAAGUAACUAACGGCGUAAAUGGAGACAUGGCAGUGAGUGCUUUUGUCCACCAGGUGUUGCUGUUUUCUCUCUCUCAUUAAGUGACCGCAAAAGCUGGUCUGCCUCGCGUGACUUUCCCUGAAAAUCAAGCUGAUCCGUCCGCGCCUUGACAAAUUGGUUCGGAAUUCCGAGAAAUGACCUCGUUCAAUUCGUCGCAGGCGGGCGGGCAGAGUUCCGCGACGGUCCGCGAAGGCAACCAUCAUCCAUCAAACCGAGUAAAUCUGCUCGUUUGGGUCUUUUUGGGUCAGAUAGUUUUAAUCUUUUGGAUAAGCUUUUUCAUCUGGUCUGGCGCUCGGAUUGCAUCUCCUUGCUGUGCAAACUCAUUUGGGUUGAACAGAUCCGCUUCCGUAUGAAUGACAAUUUCAACGUGCUCACUUUCUGUGGGCUACAUUAGCUGAGAAUGCUAACAUUAAGCGUGGGUGCGUCCCCCCCCCCCCC